GCGGCCCGCGGAGGAGCCCGGGCCGGCCCCGAUACCCAGCUCCGCGCCGCGCGGACCCACCGAGCCCGUGCUCAGACGCCCCAGCUCCGCCGAGAAGCCGCUUGAGCCGGGUCCUUCUUCUUCCCCAAGUUCAGGCAGAGCCCGCGGAGCCAUGGCCAGCCCUUCCAGCAGCUCCGAAGCCACUGGCAAGCCCCGAGGCAGGGAUGGCAGUCCCAGGAUGGGGGAGGAGGACGUCCCUCCCGAAGAGAAGAGGCUGGGGCUGUAGCUGGAGGGGGGAAGCGCACAGCCCGAGGACUGCGAGGACGGGGAGGACCCGCCGCUACCGGGCAGGAAGGAGACCGGCACCCAGACAGGUGGCGACGGCAAAGGAGAAGGAAAAUACAUGUACAGCCAACUUCCUUGAGGGUUCGUUCUUUUGCAUCAGGGUGUCUCAAACUGAUGCCCUUAAAACACCUGUAAGAGAAUCAUCCAGGCGGCUUGCUUGCUCUGCAUGCAGGCCCUUUAGAAUCAGACUCAGAAUCCCUGGGGCUGGAGCCACAAAAUGAAAUGACAUUUCAACGAGUUUGUCAUCAUGUGAGAGAGAAUAGAUCCUUCUUAGAAAUUCCUAAGGCUCAAUGCUUUGUGGAAGAUUCUGAGAAAGAAAAUAGUUUCCGAUCUUUGGGAUUCCCGAGAUGGUCCAAUCUGCAAAAAGUUCAUUGCCAUUUCCAUCAAGGACACUGAGAACAAGAGUCUUAUCUGGAUUGGAUCCUGGGAAUUGAGAAGCUUCAGCAGGGCUUCCGCUGGGACUAGGAUCAGGAUGUGAACACCCCCAACCUGGACCAUCUGGCCAGGGAGGGCGUCAAGGUCAAGUACCUCAUGCCGCCCCUUGUGACAAUGACCUCCCCGUCCCACUUCACUGCCAUCACAGAUGGAGUCUCACUCUGCCACCAGACUGGAGUGCAGUGGUGCGAUCUCGGGCCACUGCAACUUCUGCCUCCCAGGUUCAAUCUAUUCUCCUGUCUCAGCCCCCCAAGUAGCUGGGACUACAGAUGUUGCAUUUCCCAAGACCACCCUGGCUGCCACACCCCCAUUCUGUGCCUAUAAAAACCCUGAGACCCUAGCAGGCAGACACAGGCAGCUGGACUUUGAGAGGAGCACAUCAGCAGAGGAACACAAGGGUGCUGGACUUCAACAGGAACGCACCAAUGGGCACCGUCACACCGCAGGCCACUGACUGCAGAACAACGCAGAGUUUGGCUGGGACAUUCGGAGAAGAGUCCGGCCACUCAUCCAACUCCAGGGGUAAACCAUCUCCCUUCUGGCACGCCCAUCUGCUGAGAGAUACUUCCACUCAAUAAAACCUUGCACUCUCACGCCUGUAAUCCCAGAACUUUGGGAGGCCGAGGCGGGCAGAUCACGAGGUCAGGAGAUCCAGACCAUCCUGGCUAACACAGUGAAACCCCAUCUCUACUAAAAAUACAAAAAAAUUAGCCAGGCGUGGUGGCGGGUGCCUGUAGUCCCAGCUACUUGGAAGGCUGAGGCAGGAGAAUGGCGUGAACCCAGGAGUAGGAGCUUGCAGUGAGCUGAGAUCACACCACUUCUGGUACACCAAGGCAAGAACCCCGGGACAAAGAGAGCCCUCUCUCCUUGCAAUAAGGCAGGGGUCUAAUUGAGCCGACUAACACAAGCUACCUACAGACGGCUAAACUAAAAGAGCACCCUGUAACACACGCCCACUGGGGCUUCAACUAUAAACAUUCACCCCUGGACACUGCCAUGGGUCUCCCUGCCUGUCUGCAUGCUCUCCUAGAGGUUUGAGCAGUGGGGCACUGAAUAAACGAACCACACCCGCAUCGCAUGCCCUUCGAGGGGGACAACAGAACUUUUCCCAUUUCAUCUGAGAGGCCAAGGCAGGAGGAUCGCUUGAGCCCAUGUGUUUGAGACCAGCCUACACAACAUAGCAAGACACCAUCUCUACAAAAAAAAAAAAAUAAGUAAACAAAAAAAAAGCAUUAAAAAUUAGCCAGCUGUGGUGGCACACACCUGUAGUCUCAGCUACUCAGGAGGCUGAUGUGGAAGGAUUGAUUGAGCCCAGGAGAUUGAGGCUGCAGUGAGCCAAGAUUGAACCACUGCACUCUAGCCUGGGCGACAGAGUGAGACCCUGUUUCGACAACAACAAAAAGAAUGGAACAAAAUAACUUCUCAAAUAGCUAGCAGAGGGAGAUCUGGUUCUCAAAUGCAGGUUUUCCAGGUUUCAAUUCUUGUUUCUAGCAGUAUUAUGGAGGAACAUGAUCACUAAUACAUGAAGGAGAGGAGGUUUCAAGUUCUGAUGAAAAGAUGGUAAAGAGAGGAGUUAGUUGACUAGGAGCGACUAGGAAUAGGAAGAAAACGCAUGACACUACUUAGAGGAAAGAAGAAAAAUAAGCAUAGAGGUGACUGAGCAGACAGAAAGGACUUGGAAGAAGCGUGUUUGGCCCUGUCUCUAAAUUUUUUCCCUUGCAUUAGUAACUUCCCUGAUGACUUGGAUGAAUCUUCUCUUCCAGGGUACCUAGUGCUCCCUUUCUGUCCACUUCUCCUUUCCCAGGGCCCAUACAGUCUGGGAAAGCAUGCUCUGCAGGCUUCUCAUAUCUUUCCUUCCUUAAUCUGCCCCUAGCAUCUCUACAUAACCCAUAUACACCUGGAGUUCCACAUGUUCCAGUCUUUGCACUGCAGUGAAUUCAAAGAAUGGUAGACUCUAGCUGGGCGCAGGGGCUCACACCUGUAAUCCCAGCACUUUGGGAGGCUGAGGCAGGUGGAUCACUUGAGCCCAGGAGUUCAAGACCAGGCCCGGCCAACAUGGUGAAACCCCAUCUCUACUAAAAAUACAAAAAUUAGCUGGGCUUGGUGGUACAUGCCCAGUAGUCCCAGCUUCUAGGGAGGCUGAGGCAGAAGAAUUGCUGGAACCCAGGAGGCAGAGGUUGCAGUGAGCUGAGAUCGUGCCACUGCACUCCAGCAGACUGGGCAACAGAGACCAGUCUCAAAAAAAACACAAAGACAAAACUAAACAAACAAAAAAAAAAAAAACAAAAAACAAAAAACGCGCACACACAAAAAAACAAAGGUAGACUCCAAUAGGAAAAAUUCACUCAAAAGCAACUCAAAUAAUUAUUCAGUCAACCCAGUUCUAUCUCAGUUCUUUAUUAUAUAUAUAAACUUAUUCUGUCCAGAUUCCCUAGUUUUCUUUUUCUUAUCUUUUUUGUUUUCUUUUGAGACAGGACCUCACUCUGUCACCCAGGCUGGAGUAUAGUGGCACAAUCAUGGCUCACUGCAGCCUCAACCUCCUGGGCUGAAGUAGUUCUCCCACCUCAGCCUCCCAAGUAACUGGAACUACAGGUGCAUGCCACCAUGCUCAGCACCUUUUUGUAUUUUUUGUAGAAACGGGGUCUCGCUAUGUGGGCCAGGCUGGUCUUGAACUCCUGGACUCAAGAAGUCCGCCUGCCUCAACCUCCCAAAGGGCCAAGAUUACAAGCAUGAGCCACUGCAUCUGGCUGAUUCCUUAGUUUUCUUUUUCUCUUUGCCCAUUGCCUGGAUUCCAUAAGCAGAAGGAAAACCCAGGGACUGACUUUGUAGGCAAGACCCUUUCCUCUUCAAAACAUAAAUUGGCUCAAGUGGUACCAAAACUGAAACAUGUUUAUAACUUAACAUCUUUUCUUCCUACCCCUUCAAUCUCUUGAGCAAUGAGAAAAGGCACUGGGCUCUUUAUUUGUGUAGGGAAAAGAAAGAGAGAUCCGACUGUCACUGUGUCUAUGUCGAAAGGGAAGACAUAAGAGACUCCAUUUUGAAAAAGAUCUGUACUUAAAACAAUUGCUUUGCAGAGAUGUUGUUCAUUUGUAGCUUUGCCCCAGCCACUUUGCCCCAACCACUUUGACCCAACUUGGAGUUCACAAAAACAUGUGUUGUAUAAAAUCAAGGUUUGAGGGAUCUAGGGCUGUGCAGGACGUGCCUUGUUAACCAAAUGUUUACAAGCAGUAUACUUGGUAAAAGUCAUUGCCAUUCUCUAGUCUCAAUAAACCAGGGGCACAAUACACUGUGGAAAGCCGCAGGGACCUCUGCCCUUGAAAGCAGGGUAUUGUCCAAGGUUUCUCCCCAUGUGAUAAUCUGAAAUAUGGCCUCGUGGGAUGAGAAAGACCUGACUGUUCCCCAGCCCGAUACCCAUAAAGGGUCUGUGGUGAGGUGAAUUAGUAAAAGAGGAAAGCCUCUUGCAGUUGAGAUGGAGGAAGGCCACUGUCUCCUGCCUGCCCCUGGGAACUCAAAGUCUCGGUGUAAAACCCGAUUGUACAUUUGUUUAAGUCUGAGAUCGGAGAAAAGCUGCCCUGUGAUGGGAGGCAAGACAUGUUUGCAGCAAUGCUGCCUUGUUAUUCUUUACUCCACUGAGAUUUUUGGGUGGAGAGAAACAUAAAUCUGGCUUACGUACACGUCCAGUCAUAGUACCUUCCCUUGAACUUAAUUAUGAUAUAGAUUCUUUUGCUCACAUGUUUUUUGUUGACCUCCUUAUUAUCACCCUGCUUUCCU
ensembl:lncRNA novel transcript